GGAGGAUGGAGCACUUAGUAUGGCUGAUACUAGCAAUGCUAUGGAUGGCGCAGGCCAUAGAGUGCUGCCCUGAUGUCUGCAAAUGCUCCAGGAAGUCUGGCCCAGAAAAAUCAGAUGUCAACUGUCAUAAGCGGGGGCUUCGAGCUUUUCCUUCCAAAUUGCCUUCUGAUGCUUGGAUUGUUAAACUAGGUGUGUACAUUUUAAUCAAAUCCUCUCUAGGAUCCUUUUGACAUCCAAGGAAUGCAUUAAUCUAUCUAACAUUUAAGGAAACAUAAUGGGACUUGAUUGCAUCAAUAACUGACUUUUUAAUUGCUGCCAAAAGGUGAGAAUGGUAUUACCAACCUGAAGGCAAAUACUCUGAGAUCAAUUCCAAAGAUUGAGAGCGUCAAUCUGGAGAGAAAUGCCAUAAAAUCAAUCCAUCCCCAGGCCUUCUCCGGUGCAAAGCAAUUGAUGCUUCUCAAUCUUUAUGGCAACCACAUAUCCAUUCUUCCACCAAGGGGGUUUCAGGUAAAGAUUUUUGGAGAGGAGCACACUUUUCAGCAAUAAUAUUACAGUAAUUUGACAAAAAAAACCCCCAACUGUUUUCUAUGUCUGAAGGACCUGCUAAACCUCCGCUUCCUCAUGUUGGGGCAGAACCAGAUUGGCAUCCUCAAACCUGAGAUUUUUGCAGGCAUGAGAAACCUGUCAGAGUUGGACCUUACUCUCAAUGCACUGACAGUCCUCCCAACUAAUGCGUUCAAACCUCUGAUUGCCCUUAAAGUUUUGGAUCUUUCCCUCAACCGCAUCCAGAAGAUUUCUCCCAAGACCUUCAGUGGACUGAGGCAGCUCUUGUUCCUCAACUUGGACAACAACAGUCUGAAGACCAUUCCUUCUGGGACAUUCAAGCCCCUGCAAUCUCUGGAGAUGCUGGUUCUAGACAACAACCUACUAUCUACCCUGACGUUAUCAGCUUUGGAUGGCCUGAGUAACUUGCAGGUAGCAUGUUUUUCUGGUAUACAUAAAAACAAAAGAAAAAUCAUAGACUCAGUUUCAUUUUUUUAA
rnacentral:lncRNA from 1 species